GUGCUCACUUUGGCAGCACAUAUAGUAAAACUGGAACGAUACAGAGAAGAUUAGCAUCGCCCCUGUGCAAGGAUGGCACACAAAUUCAUGAAGCAUUUCAUAUUUUU
ensembl:snRNA U6 U6 spliceosomal RNA